UCGUGGUUGCUUUAAUAGGUAAAUAAGAUUGUUGUUAAAAGACAAAGUGUAUGUCUCUCAGUAAAUACGAU
rnacentral:tRNA from 2 species